rnacentral:rRNA from 1 species
ACAGGUGGUGCAUGGUUGUCGUCAGCUCGUGUCGUGAGAUGUUGGGUUAAGUCCCGCAACGAGCGCAACCCUUGAUUUUAGUUGCCAGCAUUUAGUUGGGCACUCUAAAGUGACUGCCGGUGCAAGCCGGAGGAAGGUGGGGAUGACGUCAAAUCAUCAUGCCCCUUAUGACCUGGGCUACACACGUGCUACAAUGGAUAGUACAAAGGGUCGCGAAGCCGCGAGGUGGAGCUAAUCCCAUAAAACUAUUCUCAGUUCGGAUUGUAGGCUGCAACUCGCCUACAUGAAGCCGGAAUCGCUAGUA